AGUUAAUUAUCCCCUUAAUGGGCGGUUAAUUAUUAUUCACCUCUGCGUAAUCGCGCGCCGGCUCCGGUGGUUUUUCCGGCGGGGUCCCGGGAGGGGGGAAGGAGGAGUCAGUGGCGGGGUUGGGGAGGGUGGUCCCGGCGGCUCCGUGCGCUGCGGGCGGAGCCGCUCCCGGUGCACCGGCCGUGCCCUUGGCCCCGUGCAACCUCCCCCCCUCCCGGUGCCCCCCGGGGCGCAGCGCAGCACCGUGCCCGGCAGGGGGAGCUCGAGCGUUACCGCGUUGCCGCGACGCCGCCGAGGCCGCCCCGUCGGGACCAGGACCGGGAGCGGUGGUAGGUGCCGUCCGCCGGCGUUUCUCCGGGAGCCCGCUGCUGCCUCCGCUGGGCUGCCGGUGGGCGGAGGGGACCCGCGGACCCGAGCCCGAGGCCGCCAGGGUGGUCUUCACCAUCGAGGAGAGCGGGCCCAGCAGCGGCGACGAGGCCGAACCCCCCCGGUAAGAGCGGAACGGGGAGGGAUGGGGGGGAUUUGCUCUCCCCGGUGGCACCGGGAUGGUGUUACCGGGCAGCGUGCUACCUCCGGGGCUGAUCCCGGUUUCAGCACCGGCAGGCGGACAGCGGCACCGGGAGCGGCACCGGGAGCGGCACCGGCAGAGCACCCGGUGCCAGGUGGGCUCGGGACAAACCCCUGUGUCGCCGUCCCCUCUGCUCCGGCCCCGGGAUGUCUGUCCUGAUCACCCCAUCACCCCUGUCAACCCUGUCCCGAACACCCCCAUCCUUAUCCCUCCCAUCCCCACCACCCUGUCGCUGUCCCCAUCACCCUGUCCCCACGACCUGUCCCUGUCCCCAUCCCUCUGUCCUCAUCCCCUCCUUGUCCCCAUCCCCUGUCCCAGCAGGUGCCACCGCAGGCCCAGCCUGGCCCUGCCUGGAGGUGACCUCGGUCCCUCCUGCUGUAGCUCAGCCUGGGUUGUGUCACUGCAGGGUUAUUUUUGGGCCAUUCCCACCCCCCGUGCCUGUCCCAGCCCAACUUGUGGGGACAGCACGAAGUUGGCACGGCCGAGUGACCUGACUCUGGUGUCACUCACUGCCCCUGCACAGACACGUGUCUGGUAGGGACAGUCACAGCCUGGGAGGGGACAGGGACUGGCUGUCCUGGGGAUGGGGACUGGCUGUCCUGUGGCCUGUCCUCCCUGGCUGUCCCAGGGUCUGCUGGUUGUUGUCCCAGCUCUGCCCCCACCCCAACGUCUCCUGGUGUCCCUUUAUUCCAGCGUCCCUCUGCCCUGAUGUCCCCAUGCUCGUGCUUGCUCUCCCUUGGAAGUGAGUGGGACCCCUGCACCAGGACCCUUCUCCAGUGGGGUUCAGGGUCUCAGCAGGUGGCAGGGGCCCCUGUCAGUGUCCCUCUUGGGUCCCUGCCAGCUCCUGGAUAUUUCCGUGGCCAUCAGGAGUAGCAGGUGGCCACCCAGCUCCCCCAGCUGGGCCAGAAGCUCCCCCGCUGGUGGCACUGCCAGGCCUUGUCCUGCUGUUCUCUGUCCCCAUCGAGCAUGGCCCCAGGAGGGGGCUCAGCAUGGUGACAAGGAGGGGCUGGGGACGUGAGGGGAGCACCGGGGUGGGUUUGGCUCUCACAGGUCCCUUGGAGGCACUGUGGCAGGGCCACACUGCGUGUCAGUGGCACUCCAGGCUCUGCCAUGUCCCUUGGUGGCACCGUGGCUUGCCCACACCACGUGUUUGGAAUGCUCCAGGCUCAGCCAUGUCCCUUGGUGGCAUCAUGGUCAUUCCGUAUGUCUGGGUCACUCAGGGCUCAGGGUGGCAUUUACCACGUGUCCGGGCAGAGCACCCCGGCCCUUGCAGGAGCAGCUGCCACCCCGGGGACAGCAGGGUGGCCGGUGGCACCGGGCCAGCCAGGGGACACAUGCCCGGGCAGCCGGGCACACACCGGGCGGGCGCAGCCGGGGGGGACCCGCUCCAUGUGCCGCUGCCGGAGCCAGACAGUUGUUUAAUUUCCCAGCGCGGGGGCGGGGGAGGGCGAGGGGGGGGAUGGAAACUUUUCCCGUGGCCGCCGGGACCAGCGCUGGGACGGCCCCUCGCUUCCUGCUCCGCACCGGCCGGCACCGUCCCCGCCGUGCCCGGGGGUCCCCGCGCCGGGCUAUGCUGCCCACCGCACACUGCUCGCCGGGGGCUUCACCGGUGCCAUCCCCCCGCAAUUCCCCCCGCAAUUCCCCCGUCCUCUUCAGGAAGCUCCUGAUGAACCAGAGCAUCCGCCUGCAGCGGCGUUUCACCGUGACACAUCCCCUCUGGUAAGGGGUGGGGGGGGGGACACGGACACGCACCGGUGGGACCCCGGCGAGGGGUCGUGCUCCGCCCCGGGCGGGCGGGAGGAGGCACCGGGCUGCGCUGCUGGGAGGGGGGUCUGUCUGGACCCCCCCACCAGCCCCGUCACGUCACCAGGGCCGGGGGGGCAUGGGGGGGUGAGGAGAGGACAGCGGCUGUCCCUGCACAGCUGGGGGGCUGAGCCAGGCAAAGGGGGGGGGGGGGCACGGAGAGGGUGGAUGGGGGCCGGCUGAGCAGGGGCACACUCAUCACAGCAAUGACCAGGCAAAUGUAAAGGGUGUUUGCUCCACGGGGGGUCGGGGGAAACGGCAGGGAGGACAAAGAGGCUUUUUUGGGCACAGCAAAGCACCAACAACACCCCCCGCCCCCACCUCGCGGCACAGCCGGGUCCCUCGCUGCCCCCCCGGCCUUGGAUUUGUUUGGGGGUUCCCCCCUCCCUGCACCCAGGGGUGUCGGUGGGUGCUGGUGGAUGCUGCCCCCCCCCCCCCCCCAAGUUGUGGGCGCCCUGGGGGUCACCGAAUCCCUCCUCGGCAGCGACAGCAUCUAUUUAUAGCAGCCCCCGCCCCGCCAGCCGGCACCGCUCGGCCCGUAUUAACCCCGACACCCAAAGCGAGGGGUUUCAUUCCGCUCGUGUCCCCCCUGCCGGCCCCGGUUUGUCCCCUGGGGGUGGCAGCGGGGUCCGAGGUGGUGGCUCGUGGCCAGGAAGGGACCCGGGCAUCACCCGCGGGGCCACAAUGCGGCUUUGUGUCGCCGGUACCAUCGGGGACGCGAGGCAGAGGCAGGACAACAAGGGGCUGCGGGACGGCGUGACGCGGUGCCUGGGUGGCACUGCCACCGCUGGGGACAGGGACAGCCGCGCCGCGGCCACCGGGGCUGCCGGGGGCUCUGCCGGAGAGGGGAUAUGCAACCGGGCAGCCGGUGCCCGUCCCGGAGGCAUUCCUGCAUCGGGUAGGUGCCAGCGGUGGGAUGGGGACGGGGUGGCCACAGUGGCCCCCCGCUCUUUCCCAGUUUGCCCAGUAGCUUGCCCGUGUCCCCGUGGCGCUGGCAGGAGGGGACGGGCGCUGGGUGGCCCUUUCUGUGUCCCCGUGCACAGCCUUUCCCAUGACCCCGGGGCCAGCGGAGAAGGAAGGGGGUGAGGCCACCACGGGGGCACUGCAGGGUCACCAUUCUCGUCCCCAUGUCCCCUGCCCCCCCGUGGACCCGCGCGGCUGCUGGGUGGCUCUGGUUGGGGUGUCCCCAGGACACCACCAGUGUGUCCCUGAGGGACAGGGCUUGGCUUCCCCUGCGACUUCUGUCCUUUUGUGUCCCCUGGCUCUGUGCUGUGACCAGGACACUGUCCCCACCACGGGGACAUGGCACCCCGAGCUGGGGCUGCUGGAGGUGUUUGGGCUUUCAGGGACCUAGGGCAACUGAGGACUGUGGUGCUGGGGACAGGGAAGGGACAGGACAGGCAGGAGCCCACCCUGGGUGACAUGGGAACACCCACCUUCACAAACUGGUGUCCCCAGUCC